CAGAGGGUGCAAGCGUUGUUCGGAAUUACUGGGCGUAAAGCGCGCGCAGGCGGAUCCUGCAAGUCAGAAGUGAAAUCUCAUUGCUCAACGAUGAGGCUGUCUUUUGAUACUGCGGAUCUGGAGACCGGUAGAGGCUGGUAGAAUUGCAGGUGUAGCGGUGGAAUGCGUAGAGAUCUGCAAGAAUACCCGUGGCGAAGGCGGCCAGCUGGGCCGGUUCUGACGCUGAGGCGCGAAAGCGUGGGGAGCAAACAGGAUUAGACUACCCUGGUAGUCCACGACCGUAAACGAGUGGGCACUAGGUGCUGGGGGGAGCGACCCCGUCAGUGCCGUAGCUAACGCGAUAAGUGCCCCGCCUGGGGAGUACGGCCGCAAGGCUG
rnacentral:rRNA from 1 species